rnacentral:rRNA from 1 species
AAUGAACGCUGGCGGCGUGCCUCAAACAUGCAAGUCGAGCGGGGCUAUGUAAUAUCGCAAGGUAGAACAUAGCCUAGCGGCGAACGGGUGAGUAACACGUGGGUAACCUGCCUGGAAGACAGGGAUAACGAUUCGAAAGGGUCGCUAAUACCUGAUAAUAUCCUUUCAUCGCAUGGUGAUAGGAAGAAAGGGGAAACCCGCUUUCAGAUGGGCCCGCGUCCCAUCAGCUAGUUGGUAAGGUAAAGGCUUACCAAGGCGACGACGGGUAGCCGGUCUGAGAGGAUGUACGGCCACACUGGGACUGAGAUACGGCCCAGACUCCUACGGGAGGCAGCAGUUGGGAAUCUUAGGCAAUGGACGAAAGUCUGACCUAGCGACGCCGCGUGAGGGAAGAAGGCCUUCGGGUUGUAAACCUCUGUCAUGGGGGAAGAAGUAAGUGACGGUACCCCAAGAGGAAGCCCCUGCUAACUACGUG